AUUGAACGCUGGCGGCAUGCCUUACACAUGCAAGUCGAACGGUAACGGGCCUUCGGGUGCCGACGAGUGGCGAACGGGUGAGUAAUGUAUCGGAACGUACCUUUCAGUGGGGGAUAACGUAGCGAAAGUUACGCUAAUACCGCAUAUUCUGUGAGCAAGAAAGCAGGGGAUCGCAAGACCUUGCGCUGAUUGAGCGGCCGAUAUCAGAUUAGCUAGUUGGUGAGGUAAAGGCUCACCAAGGCGUCGAUCUGUAGCGGGUCUGAGAGGAUGAUCCGCCACACUGGAACUGAGACACGGUCCAGACUCCUACGGGAGGCAGCAGUGGGGAAUUUUGGACAAUGGGGGCAACCCUGAUCCAGCCAUGCCGCGUGAGUGAAGAAGGCCUUCGGGUUGUAAAGCUCUUUCGGCCGGGAAGAAAUCGUAUCAGCUAAUACCUGGUGCGGAUGACGGUACCGGCAUAAGAAGCACCGGCUAACUACGUGCCAGCCGCCGCCGUAAGAC
rnacentral:rRNA from 1 species